UGAUUUUUUUGCCAUGAUUUACACAGGUUUUCACAAAGUUGUGGUUUGCACCAGAUAUAUUCCCAACUAAUUUAACCAUAUCCAUCACAAAACACCUUCUGUGGCCCACUUGUAAGGGUUGGGUGGAUGACAGGAUCAAAGUGGACCAAAGAAAAUUGAAUGAAGGAGAAUGAUUCUGCCUCAUAUGAAAUUAUUUUGUCUCCGCGAUCUUCUUUACCCGCCCGAUGUACCCACCCUCGCGAUUGCAUUAACCUCCAGUCCGUCCUGCAUGAAUCCGCGAUCUUGUUCCCAUCUCUUUCUCCCUCUCCCUCUGUUUCUUUCCUUCUUCGCAUCCCCUCCCAGCGGGCGUGGCGUCCACCUCCCGCCGCCACUCGCGGGUGAGCCACGCGUCCGGCGACCGGACGACCGCUUGAGCGUGGGUCCUUUUGCGUCCCGGCUAUCGCGGCCCGGGCGGCGGGGUCUGCGGCCCCCUGCCCCACCGCCGACUACGGCGAAUUCCACGCUCAGGAGCCAGAGCCCGAGCGCGACAACGCCGAGGAGCAGGACGACACUCUUGAAGGACGCGCCUCGCCAGGAUCAUGCCUCCCCUCGUAGGAUCUCCGCCGCCCACUCGCCCCAACGGCCGCCGCCGCACCCCGUCGGCGACGGCGCGCGUGAAGGACACUUCCUCGCCAGAUUCAUGCCUCCCCUCGCAGGAUCUCCGCCGCCCACUUGCCCCACGGCCGCCGCCGCACCCCGUCCUCGCUGUCGCUUCUCGACCCAGUCCCCGCCACGGCAAGGAGCUCGCACCCGCCGGCGCCCUCGCCUCCCCGCUGGCGUUGGGCGGACUAGGGUCCAUCGCUCGUACAAUAAGCAGCUGCCUCCGGCCUCCUUGGCAUGCUGCGGGUGCCGCCCCUGCCUGUUCGCGCCUCCUCAUCGGCGUUGCGUGGGGCCACACUCCAGCGAGGACGUGGCCGCCGGCGGCCUCCCUGGCAGGCCGCGGGCGCCACCCCCGCUACACGGCCGCCUUCCACUCCGACAUUCCAGCCAGGAAGUGGAUUCUCACAACCCUGAUGGACACAGCCACUAAGCAUCAUAGCCACCAUGAAGCAGCAGUUGGGGACAAAACUGGAAGGAGAUGCUAAGUAGACUAGGAUGUUUGAACUUUAUUGACAGGAUCUCUAUAGGUAACUUGCUUGCAUAUGUGGAAGCCUCUGUGCUAACAAUUUGUUCGGCAAUAUGCCAAUGUAUGCGAUGUGCUCAUCUUUAGUUGGCAAACACGGACAUUUGCUUUGAAAAAAUAGUGCAAUUAGUUUAUUAGGAUUGACAACACUGUGGCUAGAUAGUCCAACUGGAACAUGUAGUAGCACUUGACAUGCAUAAUAAAAUACAAAUGCAUAAACUGUUGUGCAACUGACUAGCUUAUAUGGUCUGGGAGUCUAAAUUUACUCCAGAUCAAUGCACAUGCUUUUAUUCAGGGCAUGUGUUAAAAUGUAAAACCAGUGAGGCCUUAAAUUGUACAUGUAUUAUACAUAUUGUUAUAAGACAUUAGUAAUCUAGAGUAGGAUGUUAACCUUGUUGUUCCCGUAUGUAACAUAUAUAAAGUUGACCAUAGUUCAAAAAAACCUUAUGGCUUACGUUUGGUCAAGUUCUACUAAUACAAGUUCGAUAUGUACAUUGUUUUGUAUUUUCUACAGUUUUAUGGUGUAUGUUUGGUGAAGAGGAGAUCCAGGAAGGCUUGAAUCUGGAGGCUGAAUUUUUGCUAUGAUUAUACAAGAAAGGUACUCAGGACUAAACCCGCAGGGUACCUGACAACUAAUUGAUUUGUUCAUGGUGCACUAUGCAUAGGAAGCUCAUAUUUAUCUUAUACAAUACUAUAUAGUUUUAAGCUAUUCGAAAAUGUGCUUCUUUGUUUCUCUGCACUAUUCAGUUAGCCCCUAUAUGUUAAAACUGAAUUUGUUCCUCUUUAUUAUUCAGUUAGCAUUGCUCUGGCAUUAUGUGAAAUCCAGUAUCUUUGUCUAUUAAUUUUUUCCUCUUCCAGAAUAUUUCUAUGGUAUUGGAAAAGUUUGGUAAUAACAUCAUAUUUUUCAAGGACUUGUUGAUCUGUUGAGUGCUUGAGGGUGAGCAAAGAUCAUUUUGCCUUUUAUCUGAUCUGGGCCAUUCUAAAAUAUUGAUUUUGUUGUCAUGUGAAUAUUGAAGUGUUCUGAUAUAAGUGUCAUUGCUACUGAGUUCCGACAUUUGAAGAUGCCAAGAAGGAUAAAUUAACGAUUUUGAAGCUAUGGUACUUAUUGUGAAUGGAGAAAACGACACGGAUUGAUGACAUCAUUGGGGAUCCCAUUGCAUUGGAUAGGUAUAAUUCCCUGCAUAUGCAUUUUUUAUAACACUAUACUGCUCUACUUGUCAUUGAAAGCAGUGAUAAUACUUUUUUUAGCUUGCGAUCUCCUAAAGAAUGUUUCUUAUUGUUUUAAAUCUUGUCAAGCUAACACACUGAGUAAUAAUAUUGAGUAACAUAUCAAGUAAUUACCUUAUAUUUGAUUGUGGAGUAAGUAAUUCAUUUAGCUCCGAAUGUCUGAAAUAGAACAAGGUAACCACAGGAUAAACAUGAUAUAAGAAAUAGAUCAUACACUACCGGAAACCCAAUUGUUGCCGAGUGCCGGACGCUUUGCCGAGUGCCAAAAGUCGAGCACUCGGCAAACAAGGCAUAUACCGAGUGUUAUUCAAAAGACACUCGGCAUAGUAAAGACACUCGGCAAAUUAGAUGUUUGCCGAGUGCUGGCUCACAAACACACGGUAAACUUUACUUUUACUGUGUGCUGCACUCCAGGCACACGGCAAACUUAAGUUUUGCCGAGUGCUGGCAUUGUUGCACUCGGCAAAGAGGGCACAUGCCCGCCAUGUGACCCAACGCCGUGCCGACGCCGUUACGGACGUAGUAUUUGCCGAGUGCCUUGCCUCUGGCACUAGGCAAAGUACGCCUUUGCCGAGUGGCAAAUUCAUGGCACUCGGCAUAGCAUACUUUUGCCGAGUGUCAGGCUCAUGGCACUCGGCAAAAUUUAAAAAACUUCUUCUACCUUCCAAACUUUUUGUUCUGUUAUUGUACUAGUUGAGGUAAAACAUAUCGAAAUUUGAUAUAUUUCUCUAUAAAUUACGUAUAUCUUAUUAAUUUGUUUCAUUAAAAUGCUAUUUUUGGAUAAUUCAAACUGGAGCCGCAAGUGAUUCGAAUAAUAUAGUAUAAUGAAUGGAAAAAUUAUAUUCAUGUUAUUUAGUCCAAUUUGAGACAUUGUCAAUCAAUUGAAAGGAAAAUUCGAACAUCUAGAUCACGAAACGGGACAGAAUAAGAUGUUGACGAAUAGAUUUUAAAUUUUACAAAAAUCAAAAGUAGUCGGAAAUCCAUAAAAUUUGUUAUGAUAUCAUGAUAACAUACAGGGAGUCUACAGAAAAAAAAUUGAGAAGGUUUUGCAAAAGUUGUCACGUAUAUCUUUUACGAAACGAAGUAUCUCCGAAGAAGUUUCAUAGAACUGAGAAGUAUUCUUUGAGAUUAUGAGUCAGAGUGACGUUCGAAUUGGGGUUUCACUU